rnacentral:rRNA from 1 species
GAUGAACGCUGGCGGCGUGCUUAACACAUGCCAGUCGAACGAGAAGUGAAGACGGAAACCUUCGGGCGGAAGGCUUUAUUUCGAGUGGCGGACGGGUGAGUAACGCGUGGGUAACCUGCCUCAUACAGGGGGAUAACAGUUGGAAACGACUGUUAAUACCGCAUAAGACCACAGCACCGCAUGGUGCGGGGGUAAAAACUCCGGUGGUAUGAGAUGGACCCGCGUUCGAUUAGCCAGUUGGCGGGGUAACGGCCCACCAAAGCGACGAUCGAUAGCCGAUCUGAGAGGAUGACCGGCCACAUUGGGACUGAGACACGGCCCAAACUCCUACGGGAGGCAGCAGUGGGGAAUAUUGCACAAUGGGGGAAACCCUGAUGCAGCGACGCCGCGUGAGUGAAGAAGUAUUUCGGGAUGUAAAGCUCUAUCAGCAGGGAAGAAAAUGGCGGUACCUGAGGAAGAAGCCCCGGCUAACUACGUG